UACGGAGGGUGCAAGCGUUAAUCGGAAUUACUGGGCGUAAAGCGUACGUAGGCGGCCCGUUAAGACAGGUGUGAAAUCCCUGGGCUCAACCUAGGAAUUGCGCUUGUGACUGGCGGGCUCGAGUACGGUAGAGGGGGGUGGAAUUCCUGGUGUAGCAGUGAAAUGCGUAGAGAUCAGGAGGAACACCGAUGGCGAAGGCAGCCCCCUGGGCCUGUACUGACGCUCAUGCACGAAAGCGUGGGGAGCAAACAGG
rnacentral:rRNA from 1 species